AGGAGCAGGAGCUCUUAAUUUUUUUUUCUAUUUGGUGGGGUUUUUUUAUUUUUUCCCUCAGUUAUUUGAGAGGUUUUAUUGGGCCUCAUCUUAAUCACCUUAAAGGAGUUACCUAGACUUACCAAAAUCAUUAUAUGCAAAAAGAAUAUGGAGGCAUGCACCUGCAUGUAUGUGUACCUGAGUGUAUGUAGAGUAAAAUCCUUAGCAUCGCAUAAGAUACUGAAAAUAUAAGGAAACUGUUACAAUUGCCUUCAAAAUUUUGGUGUAGUUGAUUGGGGCAGGGCAGAAGUGGGGGGAGGUGAUGGACUGCUUUCUAAGCCAAAUGCAUUGCCUACAUACCUGCUGAUUAAAAAAAAAAAGAUAACUUCUGUAUGUAUUCUUACUUGGGAAGAUAGUUAAAGACUAUACCAUGCACCUGCGUAAACAUGGGCUGCGCUUGGGUAUUCCAGCUCCACCCUCUUCCUUCUCUCCAGCAGGCCAGGACUGAAGUUCCCCUGUGGGGUGUGCACCCCCUUGCAGUAUGGGUCUGGUAGCUGCUGUGAGACAGCCCAGGCAGUGACUGUCAUCCAGCCCCUCUCUCCCAGUUGCUGGCCCUUAGACCCUCAAGUCCUGCAGACAUGUGGUCCUGCUCCAGUGGCUCAUACUUAAUCCUGUUGUCCCACUCAUGGGCUAGUCCCACUUGAAGUUUGCUAGCAUUGGCACGUACGUGCACACAAGUCCAGUUAAAAACACAGUGUCAUAAGAAUAUCGGGUGGACUGCAGUGAUGCGGGGCAAGGCUUGUCCAUCGAAUCGUAAUCGUGCCUUCUGAUCCUGGUUACCAGACCAAGAAUGUGGCAGUUGGAGUAGAAUUCAUCUUGCUUAACCUCGGAUGUCUACGUUCUUUAGCGGCAUGUUUUUUAUCAACGUCUCCAGGAGGCAGAUACCAUCAGCAAUGUCCAGACCUACACGUGCGUGACUUGACCACAGAAUUUCACUGUCUUGAAGAUCUGUUACCUCCAAAAUACAAUAAAUUCAGUAUUAACUCCAAAGUAACUGGUUAGAGAACUUGGCCCACCUGGUGUCUUAACGAAAACUGCAAAUUUUUCAAGGUAUUGUACAGAGUUGCUGAAAAUUUUUCAGAGAUCCUCUUGAAGUCUUUCUGAAAGUCAACACAAUCCAGGUAUGUUUGGUAUGUGCCACGUGUUGCUGGUGUGCAUUGGUUGUUCCGUGACAGUGAAGAGCCUGAAAAUACGGUCAGUGUAAGAUCAGGCUGCCAAAAGUCAUCUGUUGUUCUUAAAGUACCUGAAGAUGCAGCGGUGUUGCAAAUCCAAUUCAGCAGAAGUAUGUAGAAUUUUCUGGAGAGGACUGUGAUGCUGUGUCAGUUUUACAGUUGCUAAAAGUGCCUUUCAGGUUGGUUUUUUGAAGUUUGUUCUUCUACCUUCUUCUACAGUGGACUCAUUCUCAAAAGAGUGCUCAGUUCAAGAUUUAGAGCAUCAUCUUCUGCUCCUUUUUGCUGCCUUCUCUGAGCAGAUCUGAUCUGUUUUACCCUACACUGUGCCUUCCAGUUCUUAAUUUUUAAGCUACUUUCAGCUUAAUGCAAGACGAUUUUCUCACAGUUACUGUCUUAUUUGAAUUCUCCAAAUUGACUUUUUUUUUUUUUCAAAUGACAGGGCAGUUUCAGUAUGCAGUGAAAGUCUCCUGUCCUCUGUAAAUUGGUUUUUUUGAUGGUAAUAAUAUUUCCUCAUUUGUUUUUUAUUAAUUCAUUCUAGCUAUGAUUAAAAUCACCUGCAAGCCUUUCAUGGUUGGAAGACAAUCCUCAGGAGCCCCCUUUUUGCUGUCUGACAAUGUGAUUGUCUCUUCUUCGUAACCAUUGAUUCUCUUUUUCCAUUUUUAAUGGCAUUUUGGCCUCAGCAUUUGGGAGGUUCUGCUUUGCUGGUCCCUCUUUGAUGCUGCUGCUCUGUAGCGUUGCAGUGACCCACCCCUCCUUCUUCUAGGCAUUGAAAAAUACCAGAAAAUUCUUAGUUCUGCUAACAUAUUUUACUACAUAUCCUCAAAAUUUAUGUUUAUGUGAAAGCUGAAAAUUAUGCCUGUCUGUGGAGAACUUGUUUUUUAAGAACUGACAUUUAAAUUCCAUACAUUUGAGUGGUGAUUUUCUUAUUUGCUUCUUCUGGUAGUAUUUGCUUUAAAUUUACUUUCAUGAUGGCAGCACGUAUGUUGUAAUCACUGUCAGCACAUACAACUUACAUGGCCGAACAUUCAGAGGAACAAACAAAAAUUUCUGCAGGUUAAAGCCUGGUAUGUCUGUGGUUCUGUUACAACCAGUCUGAUGUGGUUUUGUGGGCAGAAAAGCAUGUUCUUGCCAUCAACAGAUGAUUUGGUUAACAAAGUUGGCUGAGCUCUUCACUGGUGCUGCUGUGUGAACAAAUUCCAGGUACCCAAGUCCUGUUUAGUCCAUAAUUAGUUGUUCCUACUCUCCCAUUCAUGCUCAGCCAUGUCAAUGAGGGUGUGCUGCUGCUAGUGAGGUUCUCUAAGAUGGUUUAGAAAGUGGUUUUGCAUUGUGGUAGCGCUUGGAGGGUUUUCAUCGUCACCUACUGCCGUGGACUGUGUACCUGCUCCUUUGCCGUUAAUUGUUUCCUCGUCUGUCUCGCAGGGCUCUUUA